UUCUGUCUGAGCAUGUCUAAUAACAUCCUUCAGUGUUGCUCUCAAUUUAUACAACUUUGUGGCUACACAGAGAAAAAUGAGGCCCAGCUGAAAUCAGAGUCUGGCUUCUGCGAAACCUCUCCGAUUAUGAGAGAAGUACAGUUGGAGUCGCACAUGGUUGUGAAACAAAGGCCGGAAGUCCCUAUAUUUGCACAAAACCUGGCCUCCUGGGGCAGACCCAACACCUUGGGAAAGCAAAGUAGUGAUGGAUGAGAACGCCUGUCCCCUUCAGCUUCCGACCUGGCUUUGAGGAGUGAGUGCUCUCUGCUGGGUACAAUCACGGUGGUUCUUUUAAAGGAAGCUGAGAAACAUCAGGCAUGCAAUCGUGGCAGUCUUGAGACCAGU